rnacentral:tRNA from 1 species
UGGGGCGUCGGCAAGUGGUAAGCCAAGAGACUUUGAAUCUCUAAUCAGUGGUUCGAUUCCACUCGCCCCGGCCA